rnacentral:rRNA from 1 species
ACCAGGUCUUGACAUCCUCCUGAAUAAGCCUUAGCCGGCUUAGCUUUUCGGAGCAGGAGAGACAGGUGGUGCAUGGUUGUCGUCAGCUCGUGUCGUGAGAUGUUGGGUUAAGUCCCGCAACGAGCGCAACCCUUAUGUUUAGUUGUUAACAGGUCAAGCUGAACCCUCUAGACAGACUGCCGUGGAAAACACGGAGGAAGGUGGGGAUGACGUCAAAUCAUCAUGCCCCUUAUGAUCUGGGCUACACACGUGCUACAAUGGUCGGUACAACGGGCAGCGAAGGGGUGACCUGGAGCGAAUCCUAAAAAGCCGAUCCCAGUUCGGAUUGUAGGCUGAAACUCGCCUACAUGAAGUUGGAGUUACUAGUAAUCGCGAAUCAGAAUGUCGCGGUGAAUGCGUUCCCGGGUCUUGUACA